CAACGUGAGCAACCUGCCCGAAGACCGGGACAAGCCGGGGAAACCUGGUCUAAUACCGGAUGUCCUCACCGGAUCGCAUGGUCUGGUGAGGAAAUGGAUUCCGCUUCGGGAUGGGCUCGCGGUCUAUCAGCUUGUUGGUGAGGUAACGGCUCACCAAGGCGACGACGGAUAGCUGGUCUGAGAGGACGAUCAGCCACACUGGGACUGAGACACGGCCCAG
rnacentral:rRNA from 1 species